AUCGUGACCCGGCUGAAGUCGGACGCUUAACUGACUGCGCCACCCAGGUGCCCCUAAAGUGUGCGCUUUCCGAGGCCAGAUCACUAAGAGCUCUGCAGCUUGCGCCUUCUUUCCUGCGGAUUCCCACUCCAGGGGACGCCAGCCCUGUGUUGGGAGGACACUGGAGCAGCUUGUGGAGAGGCCCCUGUGGGGUGGAACGGAGGCCGCCUGCCAAUAUCCAGAAACACCCGAGUCAGCCAUCUUGGUAGCCCACCUGCAGCCCCAAAGCUGGCUCACCCACCCCGAAUUCCCGACCGAAGAAACUGCACAUGAUAAUCAAUGUCUACUGUUGUUUUCAACCAUUAAGUUUUGGGGUAACGUGACACAUGACAAUCAAGAAUAGACAAGUUCCCGGGGCAUGGAUCCUGGUGUCUCUGCCAUACGCCAGGGACGUUCGUGGGCUUGGACGAGGUGUCCACUCCAGCGGGCCCAGAGCUCCCACGACAGUUGUUCUGUGGCAAGCCCGGAGGCCUCACCAUCCGUGCAGCCCCGUCCUCAGCCAAGGACAGUGGGAACUCUGAGACUCCCCUCUCCACGGAUUCCAGCAGCACCACUGCAUCCUCAGCUCAGUAAUACGGGGUGGCCUGGCUGGACGCCAUCUCUCUGUGCCAGGGUGGGAGACUGCCACAGUAGCAAGCUGGGGUGGGCAAGGUGGACCUCAGGAAUUUCUCUUCCCUGGGGAUCGCAGUCCUGCAUUUCCUGUUUUUCAUACCUGAAAAGGGCUGCCUCGUCUGCUUUGUCCAUGUUAAUGAUUGGUUGCAGUAGAGGGCCAGUCUGGCAGGAUUCUCUCCAAUAGCCCAUACAGGAGCCUCAAUCAAAUGUGUUUUUUUCAAAGGCAAGCUCUUUCUACGUUUGUGGGCAACCUGGGGAGCUCUGCAUCAAGCCUAGAAUUUAGUUAGUGGUGAUGGACUGACGUUGGUUUCUUAGUUGUGAUAAAGCUACCACGGAAAUGUAAGGUGUGGACAUUAAAGGAAAUGGGUGGGGGGAGCUCUGUGUUACCUGUGCAUCUUUCCUGUAAAUGUGACAUUAUUGCAAUAAAAAAUGUUAAAUGA